rnacentral:rRNA from 1 species
UGGGGAAUAUUGGACAAUGGGCGCAAGCCUGAUCCAGCGACGCCGCGUGUGUGAAGAAGGCCUGCGGGUUGUAAAGCACUUUCGAUGGGAACGAAAUGUGCCGGGUUAAUACCCCGGUAAGCUGACGUUACUCAAUGAAGAAGCACCGGCUAACUCUGUGCCAGCAGCCGCGGUAAUACAGAGGGUGCGAGCGUUAAUCGGAAUUACUGGGCGUAAAGCGCACGUAGGUGGCGACGUAAGUCGGGUGUGAAAGCCCCGGGCUCAACCUGGGAAUUGCAUUCGAGACUGCAUUGCUGGAGUACGGAAGAGGAGGGCGGAAUUCCCGGUGUAGCGGUGAAAUGCGUAGAUAUCGGGAGGAACAGUCAGUGGCGAAGGCGGCCCUCUGGUCCAGUACUGACACUCAAGUGCGAAAGCGUGGGGAGCAAACAGGAUUAGAUACCCCCGUAGUCCCUGAGCGGGCUGGCAAGGCGCAU